rnacentral:lncRNA from 1 species
CGUCGUCGUCGGAGACGGUGGAGAAGAGUAAGAGAAGAAAAGAAAAGAAAAAAGCAAAAAAAAAAAAAGUCGCGGCGCGGCCUUAACGGGGUCGGAGGCGAGGAAGGUGGGGGUGCAUGGACGAGGGCAAGGGCGAGGGCGAGAGCAUGAGGGUGAGAGGCGAGACGGACCGUUUCUGCCUCCGCUCCGCCUCCGCUCUACCGGCGAGAAAAAAAAAAGAACGAGAGAAACGAAGAAGAGAGAGAAAGAGGAAAGAGAAAAAGUAAUAAGGGUAUUUUGGUCAGUUUGCUGAAAAAGCGGACCGAAUCUGCAAAAAUGAAAAAGGUGGCCCGAUUUUGCAAAAGCCCAAAAUAAGUGGAUUUUUUAUGCAAAUUGGCCUUCAUUUUUUUUGUCCACUUGAUACAAGAAAAUAAUAUCAGAAAAAUAUAAAAUUUUAUUUCUAAAUAUUUCAAGGUUUAAAUCAUGUUUGACGUUACUGAUCAUUAAUUUGGAGGCUCCAUCAUCAAAAAUAAAUCAAUAACAACAUAGUUUGUUUGUUACCAACCCUAAUAAUAAUAAUAAUAAUAAUAAUAUAAUAGUUAGAUAUAUUAA